rnacentral:rRNA from 1 species
CCUACGGGAGGCAGCAGUGGGGAAUUUUGGACAAUGGGGGCAACCCUGAUCCAGCAAUGCCGCGUGUGCGACGAAGGCCUUCGGGUUGUAAAGCACUUUUGGCGAGAACGAAACGACAUAGGUUAAUACCCUGUGUUAAUGACGGUACUCGCAGAAUAAGCACCGGCUAACUACGUGCCAGCAGCCGCGGUAAUACGUAGGGUGCAAGCGUUAAUCGGAAUUACUGGGCGUAAAGCGAGCGCAGGCGGCUAUAUAAGACAGUUGUGAAAUCCCCGGGCUUAACCUGGGAACUGCAAAUGUGACUGUAUGGCUAGAGUGUGUCAGAGGGAGGUAGAAUUCCGCGUGUAGCAGUGAAAUGCGUAGAUAUGCGGAGGAAUACCGAUGGCGAAGGCAGCCUCCUGGGAUAACACUGACGCUCAUGCUCGAAAGCGUGGGGAGCAAACAGGAUUAGAUACCCUGGUAGUCCACGCCCUAAACGAUGUCUAUUAGUUGUUGGGUCUUAACUGACUUAGUAACGCAGCUAACGCGUGAAAUAGACCGCCUGGGGAGUACGGCCGCAAGGUUAAAACCUUAAAGGAAUUGACGG